rnacentral:misc_RNA from 1 species
CCUGACGACAAACCUGUCUCCACUCUAGUGGCCCCAAAGACAACAAUAACAAAAGACAUGAUCAAAGUCCACGCUAAGCUUUUAUAUGAUAAACCAUUUCUUGCUUUCGCCAUUGAAGAACAUUUCAUAAGUACUGUGCACUGACUGCCCUUCUUAAUCAAACAAAACAUUUUUUGUUCUUUAUAACGUUCGUUUAUGAUCGUAAGCAAAGCACAUGGAAGAUAUACCCUAAGCAGAAAUAAAAUUGGGACAAGCCCAGCUAAAGCAGGCUAUGAUACAGCUUUGAUAGUUUUAAUGAUAAAAUGUACACACCAUAGGGGAUUCAAACUUUAAACCCUUUUAAUAGCGAGAAACCAUUCCUCCUUUUAACAACACUCAUCAAAUUAAAGUCAAGAGUAUUCCAUUCUCUAGAAGAUCCUAACAAGGCUAACAUAGUAAAUAUUGAUGGGUGUUCAAUGCCUGCUAUUUUGUUCAGUAUUGAAGAAAACAUAGAAGCAACAAAGAGUUGCAACAGACAAUAGAUCUGCAUUCAGUACCUUAUCAUAUAAACAUAAAAACUCGGUUUAGUAGUUCAAAAACAUGAAGACCAAAAACAUACUCUUAGAGGAGCAAGGAAUUUGAG